UACGUAGGCAGCAAGCGUUGUUCGGAGUUACUGGCGUAAAGGGUGUGUAGGCGGUUGCUUAAGUUUGGUGUGAAAUCUCCCGGCUCAACUGGGAGGGUGCGCCGAAUACUGAGUGACUAGAGUGCGGGAGAGGAAAGUGGAAUUCCUGGUGUAGCGGUGAAAUGCGUAGAUAUCAGGAGGAACAUCGGUGGUGUAGACGGCUUCUGGACCGUAACUGACGCUGAGACACGAAAGCGUGGGUAGCAAACAGG
rnacentral:rRNA from 1 species